rnacentral:rRNA from 1 species
GAUGAACGCUGGCGGCGUGCCUAAUACAUGCAAGUCGAGCGAACGGACGAGAAGCUUGCUUCUCUGAUGUUAGCGGCGGACGGGUGAGUAACACGUGGAUAACCUACCUAUAAGACUGGGAUAACUUCGGGAAACCGGAGCUAAUACCGGCUAAUAUUUUGAACCGCAUGGUUCAAAAGUGAAAGACGGUCUUGCUGUCACUUAUAGAUGGAUCCGCGCUGCAUUAGCUAGUUGGUAAGGUAACGGCUUACCAAGGCAACGAUGCAUAGCCGACCUGAGAGGGUGAUCGGCCACACUGGAACUGAGACACGGUCCAGACUCCUACGGGAGGCAGCAGUAGGGAAUAUUCCGCAAUGGGCGAAAGCCUGACGGAGCAACGCCGCGUGUGUGAUGAAGGUCUUCGGAUCGUAAAGCUCUGUUAUUAGGGAAGAACAUAUGUGUAAGUAACUGUGCACAUCUUGACGGUACCUAAUCAGAAAGCCACGGCUAACUACGUG